rnacentral:rRNA from 1 species
UGAGUAACGCGUUGGUGACCUGCCCCGAAGAGAGGGAUAACAGUUCGAAAGGAUUGCUAAUACCUCAUGUGGUUAUAUGGUUUAGAAGCUUAUAACUAAACGGAUUUAUUCGCUUCGGGAGGGGCCUGCGUCCCAUCAGCUAGUUGGUAAGGUAAUGGCCUACCAAGGCGAUGACGGGUAGGGGACCUGAGAGGGUGGCCCCCCACAAUGGAACUGAAACACGGUCCAUACACCUACGGGUGGCAGCAGUAGGGAAUAUUGGUUAAUGUGGGAAACCGCGAACCAGCAACGCCGCGUGCACGAUGAAGGCCUUCGGGUCGUAAAGUGCUUUUAGAGAGGAUGAGGAAGGACAGUACUCUCUGAAUAAGCCUCGGCUAACUACGUGCCAGCAGCCGCGGUAAAACGUAGGAGGCGAGCGUUAUCCGGAUUUACUGGGCGUAAAGCGCGUGUAGGCGGUCUGACAAGUUGGAUGUGAAAGCUCCUGGCUUAACUGGGAGAGGUCGUUCAAAACUGUUAGACUUGAGAGUGGUAGAGGGAGGUGGAAUUCCGGGUGUAGUGGUGAAAUGCGUAGAUAUCCGGAGGAACACCAGUGGCGAAAGCGGCCUCCUGGACCAUUUCUGACGCUCAGACGCGAAAGCUAAGGUAGCAAACGGGAUUAGAGACCCCGGUAGUCUUAGCUGUAAACGAUGUGAACUAGGUGUCGGUGGGUUCAAAUCCAUCGGUACCGAAGCUAACGCGAUAAGUUCACCGCCUGGGGACUACGGCCGCAAGGUUAAAACUCAAAGGAAUUGACGG